GGGGGUAGAGCACUGUUUCGGCUAGGGGGCCAUCCCGGCUUACCAACCCGAUGCAAACUGCGAAUACCGGAGAAUGUUAUCACGGGAGACACACGGCGGGUGCUAACGUCCGUCGUGAAGAGGGAAACAACCCAGACCGCCAGCUAAGGUCCCAAAGUCAUGGUUAAGUGGGAAACGAUGUGGGAAGGCCCAGACAGCCAGGAUGUUGGCUUAGAAGCAGCCAUCAUUUAAAGAAAGCGUAAUAGCUCACUGGUCGAGUCGGCCUGCGCGGAAGAUGUAACGGGGCUAAACCAUGCACCGAAGCUGCGGCAGCGACACUGUGUGUUGUUGGGUAGGGGAGCGUUCUGUAAGCCUG
rnacentral:rRNA from 1 species